UUGUGUAUAGCUCAGUUGGUAGAGCGGUGUCCUUUUAAGUCAACGUCCUUGGUUCAAUCCCAGGUACACUCA
rnacentral:tRNA from 1 species